rnacentral:rRNA from 1 species
UUGCUGCGGGUACUCGAGUGGCGAACGGGUGAGUAACACGUGGGUGAUCUGCCUUGCACUUCGGGAUAAGCUUGGGAAACCGGGUCUAAUACCGGAUAGGACAGCUGUUUAGUGUCAGUUGUGGAAAGUUUUUUCGGUGCAAGAUGAGCUCGCGGCCUAUCAGCUUGUUGGUGGGGUAAUGGCCUACCAAGGCGUCGACGGGUAGCCGGCCUGAGAGGGUGUACGGCCACAUUGGGACUGAGAUACGGCCCAGACUCCUACGGGAGGCAGCAGUGGGGAAUAUUGCACAAUGGGCGGAAGCCUGAUGCAGCGACGCCGCGUGGGGGAUGAAGGCCUUCGGGUUGUAAACUCCUUUCGACAGGGACGAAGCGUAAGUGACGGUACCUGUAUAAGAAGCACCGGCUAACUACGUGCCAGCAGCCGCGGUAAUACGUAGGGUGCGAGCGUUGUCCGGAAUUACUGGGCGUAAAGAGCUCGUAGGUGGUUUGUCGCGUCGUCUGUGAAAUUCCGGGGCUUAACUCCGGGCGUGCAGGCGAUACGGGCUGACUUGAGUGCUGUAGGGGAGACUGGAAUUCCUGGUGUAGCGGUGAAAUGCGCAGAUAUCAGGAGGAACACCGAUGGCGAAGGCAGGUCUCUGGGCAGUAACUGACGCUGAGGAGCGAAAGCAUGGGUAGCGAACAGGAUUAGAUACCCUGGUAGUCCAUGCCGUAAACGGUGGGCGCUAGGUGUAGGGGGCUUCCACGUCUUCUGUGCCGUAGCUAACGCAUUAAGCGCCCCGACCUGGGGAGUACGGCCGC